rnacentral:lncRNA from 1 species
CAGAGGGCAGGUGGGGGGAGGCUGGGGACCUUCCUGUGGGGGCACAAAUCUUGUCCUGUCACUGGAGGAUGCACACAGCUCAUGGAGACCACGUCAACCACCGGCCUAAGGAAAGCAGCGGGAAAGCUAAAGUGUGACGCGGCUUAAGCAGCUUGUCUGAGUUUGCACAGCUGGCAAAUGGCUGAGCCAUGACUCACACCCAGGUCCAUCCACCGCCAAAGCUCCAGAUCUCUGGCAUCCUUCUAAGGUCAGAAAGGGAAAGAAAUCCCUAAUAAGGAGCCUGUGUGACGGCGUGCCCCCCUCCACUUUCCCACCCCUGCCAAGGACCCGUUUGAAGGCUGUUCACGCCAGUCACUGCAAUCACCAUUGAGCACAGAGAUGACAGUUCCAGCAAGCACUGACCUUCCAGCCCACUCUGCGGAGGAGAAGACUGAGGGGCAGAGAGGCUGUUGAUUUGCUGCAGUUGACUCUGACCCUAAUUUCCCGGCGCUGACUCAAACUCAUCAGGAACACUGCUUUCACUGAGUGUAUGAAGUGGUUUCUCCAUCCGUGUGGCUUUACCUGAACUCACACCGGUCCCACGGCCCAGGUGUGGAGCCGAGCACUCCCCUCUGCCUCCUCCCUGGACUGCAGGACCUGUGUCUCGCUUUAUGAAAGAGAUGCCAUUUGGGGAAGACUCGCAUUGUCGGGAGCGCUGUGGACGCUCCAGAAGGAGAUCAACACGAUGAUGACGAUGCCGGGUGGAGGGAAUGUGCACUUCUCGGGAGCCAGAAAAGAAUAAUCUGAAUGUCUCCAGCAUCAAGAAAAGACCAGUAUUGAAGGAGGAGCCAAAAGCAUUUUGCUGACCUCGGUGCAGAUCAACCCUGCAACAAGGUGCAGAAGAGGCACCAAAGGGGCUUUGUAGCCAGCAACAUGCCAGAUCCAUGCACCUUGUUGAUGCAGCCGACUCUGCAGGGGUGCAGGAGGUGAGGACUCACACAGGGGUGCGGGAGGUGAGGACCCACGCAGGGGCGCAGGAGGUGAGGACCCAC